GAAAUGCGAUAAGUAGUGUGAAUUGCAGAAUUCAGUGAAUCAUCGAAUCUUUGAACGCACAUUGCGCCCUUUGGUAUUCCAAAGGGCAUGCCUGUUCGAGCGUCAUUUGUACCCUCAAGCUUUGCUUGGUGUUGGGCGUCUUGUCUCCAGUUCGCUGGAGACUCGCCUUAAAGUAAUUGGCAGCCGGCCUACUGGUUUCGGAGCGCAGCACAAGUCGCGCUCUCUUCCAGUCAAGGUCAGCAUCCACAAAGCCUUUUUUCAACUUUUGACCUCGGAUCAGGUAGGGAUACCCGCUGAACUUAAGC
rnacentral:misc_RNA from 1 species